UACGGAGGGGGCUAGCGUUGUUCGGAAUUACUGGGCGUAAAGCGCACGUAGGCGGCUUUCCAAGUCAGGGGUGAAAGCCUGCGGCUCAACCGCAGAAUUGCCCUUGAGACUGGUUCGCUUGAACACGGGAGAGGUGAGUGGAAUUCCGAGUGUAGAGGUGAAAUUCGUAGAUAUUCGGAAGAACACCAGUGGCGAAGGCGGCUCACUGGACCGUUGUUGACGCUGAGGUGCGAAAGCGUGGGGAGCAAACAGG
rnacentral:misc_RNA from 1 species